GAUGAACGCUGGCGGCGUGCCUAAUACAUGCAAGUCGAGCGAACGGACGAGAAGCUUGCCUCUCUGCUGUUAGCGGCGGACGGGUGAGUAAUACGUGGAUAACCUACAUAUAAGACUGGGAUCACUUAGGGAAACCGGUGCUAAUACCGUAUAAUAUUUUGAACCGCAUGGUUCAAGAGUGAAAGACGGUCAUGCUGUCCCUUAUAGAUGGAUCCGCGCUGCAUUAGAUAGUUGGUAAGGUAACGGCUUACCAAGGCAACGAUGCAUAGCCGACCUGAGAGGGUGAUCGGCCACACUGGAACUGAGACACGGUCCAGACUCCUACGGGAGGCAGCAGUAGGGAAUCUUCCGCAAUGGGCGAAAGCCUGACGGAGCAACGCCGCGUGAGUGAUGAAGGUCUUCGGAUCGUAAAACUCUGUUAUUUGGGAAGAACAUAUGUGUGAGUAACUGUUCACAUCUUGACGGUACCUAAUCAGAAAGCCACGGCUAACUACGUG
rnacentral:rRNA from 1 species